rfam:Aquimarina sp. RZW4-3-2 contig14, whole genome shotgun sequence.
UAAGGUGGUUAUAGCAACGGGGCUCACCUCUUACCAUUCCGAACAGAGAAGUUAAGCCCGUUAGCGCCAAUGGUACUACAAUCGUGGAAGAGUAGGUCGCCGCCUUCU